UGUUGUUGUUGUUGUUGUUUCUGUUGUCGUGGCCGUUGCUCACCUUGUUAGUGUUGUUAGUGUUACUACUGCUGCAAGUGCUGCCGUUUAUUGUUGCUACCGCUGCUGCUGCCUCAGACGCCGCAUCUCCUAUCUUACAAGCGCCGCUUCCGUAAAGAAAGAUCACCAAAGACGGAUGGCAAAGGAGAUAGUGAAUGCAUGUGAGUGGAAGGCGGAGGAGAGCCGACACAAGGGGAAAAGAAGAUAGAAGGACGAGGGGGGAGAAAAAAGUUCACGGUGGUGGUUUUGAUGGUUUCCUAAGUGCUGUGGAUUCCUGGCCAACAGCUUCUCCGCUUGACGUUCUUUCUCGUAUCGUCGUCGUCGUCGUCGUCGUCGUCGUAGUUCUAUUUGUUGUUUUAUUACUUUUGUAGUGUGUGUGGAUUUAGGCGCCGAAAACAAGAUCCUUUACCUAGCGGAUAAAACAAGCAGGCAGAUCACGUAUGAACAUACACGAAAGGUGGAGGUUUUACUACCUGUCAACAAUCUAACAAAGAACUGUUAGACAAGAAAUGUUCCGACAUGAAAUAUGAAACAGAUCCAAGAGAAGACAAAAUUAAAGAGCCCCGUUAUGAAAGGUGUACAGACAGCAGAAAUAUAUCGCCAACAAAUGUGUUUCCAGGUCUGUAAAGGUCAUACAGACUCCGAUUAUGACAACAUACCCCAUCCAUUCACCUUUAAAUAGAUAACCAUCAUUAAGAAGGCAAGUAAAUUCCUGUGGUUUCUUUUAUUAACCCACCGAUUAGCAAAUAGGAUAUUUCAGCAUCAAAAUUCCAGUGUUUCUCGUAUCUAAAUAUAUUCUUUUCUACUCAAGGCGGGGGGAGGCUGUCGAUUAGACCGACCCCCUUGUACGUAACUGGUACGUAACUGAAUAUAUUAUCCUUGCGUCAUUGGCGAUAAUCAGUUUAAAAAUCGUAGAGACCGUUUUGCGACUUAGAGCU